rnacentral:rRNA from 1 species
GAUGAACGCUGGCGGCGUGCCUAAUACAUGCAAGUCGAGCGAUGAGAUGCUGAGCUUGCUCCUCUGACGUUAGUAGCGGACGGGUGAGUAACACGUGGAUAACCUACCUAUAAGACUGGGAUAACUUUGGGAAACCGGUGCUAAUACCGCAUAAUACAUUGAACCGCCUGGUCCAGUAGUGAAAGACGGCUUUUGCGUCCAUUCAUGAUUGAUCCGCGCCGCAUUAGCUAGUUGGUAAGGUAAAGGCUUACCAAGGCCACGAUGCGUAGCCGACCUGAGAGGGUGAUCGGCCACACUGGAACUGAGACACGGUCCAGACUCCUACGGGAGGCAGCAGUAGGGAAUCUUCCGCAAUGGGCGAAAGCCUGACGGAGCAACGCCGCGUGAAUGAAGAAGGUCUUCGGAUCGUAAAAUUCUGUUAUUAGGGAAGAACAAAUGUGGAAGUAACUGUGCACGUCUUGACGGUACCUAAUCAGAAAGCCACGGCUAACUACGUG